UCCCUGGUGGUCCAGUGGUUAGGACUCCACGCUUCCAAUACUGGGGCCCGGGUUCAAUCCCCGGCCGGGGAA